UAGGGAAUCUUCGGCAAUGGACGGAAGUCUGACCGAGCAACGCCGCGUGAGUGAAGAAGGUUUUCGGAUCGUAAAGCUCUGUUGUAAGAGAAGAACGAGUGUGAGAGUGGAAAGUUCACACUGUGACGGUAUCUUACCAGAAAGGGACGGCUAACUACGUGCCAGCAGCCGCGGUAAUACGUAGGUCCCGAGCGUUGUCCGGAUUUAUUGGGCGUAAAGCGAGCGCAGGCGGUUAGAAAAGUCUGAAGUGAAAGGCAGUGGCUCAACCAUUGUAGGCUUUGGAAACUGUUUAACUUGAGUGCAGAAGGGGAGAGUGGAAUUCCAUGUGUAGCGGUGAAAUGCGUAGAUAUAUGGAGGAACACCGGUGGCGAAAGCGGCUCUCUGGUCUGUAACUGACGCUGAGGCUCGAAAGCGUGGGGAGCGAACAGGAUUAGAUACCCUGGUAGUCCACGCCGUAAACGAUGAGUGCUAGGUGUUAGGUCCUUUCCGGGACUUAGUGCCGCAGCUAACGCAUUAAGCACUCCGCCUGGGGAGUACGACCGCAAGGUUG
rnacentral:rRNA from 1 species